GACGGAAGGUGCAAGCGUUGCUCGGAAUCACUGGGCGUAAAGGGUGCGUAGGCGGCCGUGCAAGUCUGGCGUGAAAGCCCCGGGCUCAGCCCGGGAAGUGCGCUCGAAACUGCGCGGCUCGAGUGCCGGAGGGGAGAGUGGAAUUCCUGGUGUAGCGGUGAAAUGCGUAGAUAUCGUAAGGAAGACCAGUGGCGAAGGCGGGUCUCUGGACAGUUCCUGACACUGAGGCACGAAGGCCAGGGGAGCGAACAGG
rnacentral:rRNA from 1 species